rnacentral:rRNA from 1 species
UGGGGAAUUUUGCACAAUGGGCGCAAGCCUGAUGCAGCGACGCCGCGUGAGGGAUGAAGGCCUUCGGGUUGUAAACCUUUUUCGCUCAUGGUCAAGCCGCAGCUUUGGGUGGUGGUGAGGGUAGUGGGUAAAGAAGCGCCGGCUAACUACGUGCCAGCAGCCGCGGUAAUACGUAGGGCGCGAGCGUUGUCCGGAAUUAUUGGGCGUAAAGGGCUUGUAGGCGGUUGGCCGCGUCUGCCGUGAAAUCCUCUGGCUUAACUGGGGGCGUGCGGUGGGUACGGGUUGACUUGAGUGCGGUAGGGGGGACUGGGAUUCCUGGUGUAGCGAUGGAAUGCGCAGAUAUCAGGAGGAACACCGGUGGCGAGGGCGGGUCUCUGGGCCGUUACUGACGCUGAGGAGCGAAAGCGUGGGGAGCGAACAGG